GAGGGUGUAGCUCAGUGGUAGAGUGCAUGCCUAGCAUGCAUGAGGUCCUGGGUUCAAUUCCCAACACGUCUA
rnacentral:tRNA from 1 species